AUGUAUUUUUGUGUUACCAUAAUGCAUAUCAACCCCUUAUCACACCAGAAGGACAGUGAUCAAAGAUCUUACCUUUACCAAAUAUUUAGCUGUACUUUUUUUAACGUACUUUUGAUUUUACAAGGGUCUUACAUAACACACUCACCUUUUAUCUGCCCUGUAGAAACUCAUGUGUGGGACAUAAUGAGUGAGGUGGUGGGACUGUGCACCAUGCCGCCUCCAGACAACCCCUUCUCUUUGGACAUGCGCUACCUCCAAACCCUGUCCCUCCCAGAGCGCUUCCUGGUCACUGGGGCCCUCCUGAAUUUCCUGGAGAUGAUUGUGGUUCAGGGAAUCCGAGAGGAGCUGUUCUAUGAUCUGGGAAGAGUUGAAGCCGCUGAGAAGACUUCAUUUCCAAAACCUUUCUGAGGUCCAAAGGUUUCAGGGUAGCGACAGGACUCAAAGUCAUUUACCCACCAAAUGAAUAUGGACAACAACAUCCAAGAGUAUUAAACUCCAAAGGAUCACUGCUUUUACCAUUUGGGCUAAAACUCCAAACAUUAAAAUCUAGAACUGUAAAAAUUUGAACCAUAAACUAACAUGUUUAUAUAUAUAUAUAUAUGAGCAUUAAUUUAUGUAUAAACUAAGAGGUUUAAUAAUGAUAGCUUUAGCCACUUUAAGCGUCUAAAUAUCAGCCAUGGCAUGUUUUUGAGAAUUACGUACGAAUGAAAGGUUAUGAAAUCAGACCAGGAGCAUUUUAAUCCCUGGCAUUAAAAGAUUUGCACCCCAUGACUUACACAGAAGCUGCUCCCUCUUUAAGGAUCCAAUCUGUCCUGAAAUUCAAGUAACAACUGGCUUUUUAAAAGUUAUUGAUGUCUUGGUGUUUAAUAAAUUAAAAGAAUACAGGCCA
ensembl:lncRNA